ACUAUAUUUGAACCCUUAACUCUUGGAGGCCCCUAGUGUUCUUGCCAACAUUGUGGUGCUCUCUUUUGGUAUGAUGAGCGUGUACACAGAGAAAGGCAUACUCAAAAUCCAACAUAUAAUUUGUGCUGCAAAGGAGGAAAAGUUUCCCUCCAGCCAUAUGAUCCUCCUCCUCAACCUCUAUUGGAUUUACUCACUUCACAGAAUAGUUCACUCUCAAGCCACUUCUUUCAUCAUAUUCGUUAGUACAAUACCAUGUUUGCCAUGACUUCAAUGGGAGCUAAAAUUGAUGAGUCCAUAAAUGACGGCCGAGGCCCAUACGUUUUCAAGAUCAGUGGCCAAGUCUGCCACCGUGUUGGUUCAUUGAGACCAUCUAGAGGACAGAGACCAGAAUAUGCACAAUUAUACAUAUUUGAUACAGAGUGUGAGGUUUCAAAUAGAAUAAAUGUUGCCUCAUCUUCGCGCACCGGUUCAUCUACACGCACUUUGUUCCAAGCUAAUGAAGGCAUUGUUCAGUCCCUCAUAACAAUGUUGAACACACAUAAUCCCAUUGUGAAACUAUUUAGAACAGCAAGUCAAAGAUUACAUGGCAAUGAUUCUGACCAUUUAUACCUCAGAAUAUAUGGCAAACCUGAUGCCCGUGGAGAUAUCUAUAGUGCUCCAGUUGCAUCCGAAGUUGUUGGAUUAGUGGUUGGAGAUUUAGGGUCUUCUAAUGUUGGACGAGUCAUUAUAAUAGAAGAUCAUUCAUCACGGUUACAACAGAUCAAUGAAAAACACUGCAAGUUUAUGUCCAUGCAAUAUCCUCUUUUAUUUCCAUAUGGUGAGGAUGGUUAUCAUGAUGACCUUAUGUGCCUUCCAGUGUCAAAUGCAUCAAAUCAACGCCAAAAAGUCACAGUGCUACAAUACUAUGCAUAUAGGUUACAUGAUAGGCCAAAUGACUUCAACACUCCAUUACGAUGCAAAAGGUUAACACAGGCUUACUUUGUGGAUUGCUAUUGUUCUAUUGAAACCUUUCGUAUUGCAUUCUACCGCAAGCCUAGCUUUCAACGGAAAUACAGAUCAUCAUCAUUCAGUUGUUUAGCAGAUUCUGUGUCAAAGGGUAUUACAUCAGGUUCUUCUAUUGGCCAAAGGAUUAUAUUACCUUCCUCAUUUAUUGGAGGCCCUCGCUACUUAUACCAAAACUACCAAGACUCCAUUGCUAUUUGUAGAAAAUAUGGUUGCCCAGAUCUGUUUGUCACGUUCACAUCAAAUGCUGCUUGGCCUGAAAUUACAGAGGAUCUAUCAUCCAUUCCUGGUCAAGAACCAUCUGACCGUCCAGAUAUUGUCAACCGGGUAUUCAAAAUGAAGCUUAAUAUUCUAAUGGAUGAUAUUAAAAAGAAACAUUUUUUGGACCCAUAA
rnacentral:rRNA from 1 species